UUACCUCUCUUAUGAGAAGAAAACCUGGAGUCAAAGAAGAGCAUAAUGUAAUAAUAGAGGAGAGGACCUUGUGAUCAUAAACAGUAGAGACAAACAGGUGUUUCUGAAUAAAUUGGCUAACAAUCUGAAGGGACCUGGAAAUUGGUGGAUGGAACAACUCUAACUACAACACAAUCAGUGCAUUUGAAGCAGAGGAGAGGAAGCAACUGAAGACUAUUGAGAUACAACCGGUGAAGGAGGUUGGCUUCAAGAGAGAGUUUGCAUCUGUGGGUAUUCUACACUAGCGUCCGACCCAGGACAAGGUCAAAUCAUUCAUUUAUUGUAAGGUGAUUUCUGUGAAGCCAUUUGUGUCAGAGCCUGACUUAACAGGAUAGACCUAAAGUGUCAGAUAAAACUAUCUGGGACUGGGACUGGACAAAGAGAGGACAGAGAUCCGGUAUGGACACACAUUUGAUGGCACACACACACCAAUGGAUAAUAAUCAGAAAACACAAUCUUUUUCAAUUAUCUGUUUUAAAGUCAAUAUGAAAUUCAACAGAAUUAUAUACACAUUAGUUUGUGUUUCAACUCCACAUUAGGUGAUUAACCUCAUGUUCUAGAAGUUAUGACUGACUGCAAAUUACGCAGCAUUGGGGUUUGCGUGAUCGUGGCCAAGUCUAUGUGCACGAGUACGUACACAGGGAGAGGCUGCGACGCACAGCUUGCCACAACUUUUAAGAACAUGCAAUUUAUUAUUACGUGUGACUAGGUGCAAGGUCCAUUGACGUACAUUUUAAUCUUGCCUUCAAAGUUACAUAAAACGUUAUUGUGCACUCACAGUAAUUUACAGUAAAGCUAAUGCAGACUUGAAAACACACAUAGUCCCGAGCAGGGUUCUUAUGACAAUGUUUCAGUUUGGUUUCCUUGCAUGGCAGUCCCUCUCUCUCACCUCUUACCUAGGCAACAAUCAGUCAUGUGAAUAAUCAGUCUAUCACAGUCACAGACUAGUCACCACAUCUUCUGAAAGUAGUGGAGAGGCCGGCCACUCACCUUGAAUAAGGUACUAACUUUAACGUGUGUGUGUCUGUGUGUAAGUUUAUGUAUGCGCAGUGCUUGACUCAUUUUGGGUGCUGGUACUGUGGUGCAGGUGCUCCCCAAUACUUUUGAGCAAAUAUUCUAUAAGAGGAACAGGAGCUCAAGCUCUGGAUGUCUGUGUGUUUGUGUGUGUGUGUGUGUGUCCAUGCUUGCGUGUGUGUAGGGUUUUUCAAUGCAGCAGUGUGUUAUGAACAUUACUAUCUGGUGGUGGGUGUUAUUGGCAACAUACUUGUUUGAAAAAGUCAAACGUUUCUUGAUAUUGGUUUUAGUAAUCUACUUUGAUGCCUGAAUUUCACUCCCCCAUUCUCCCUGUCUCUGUCUCUCUAGCAUUUUCUCUCUGUCCCUCUCUCUCUCUC